ACCCAUGGUUUUAUACAUACAUGUCCUUAGACACCACCAAAUAUAACCCAUGUAUGUUCAGAACCCAUGGUUUUAUACAUACAUGUCCUUAGACACCACCAGGUAUAACCCAUGUAUGUUCAGAACCCAUGGUUUUAUACAUACAUGUCCUUAGACACCACCAAUUAUGACCAUGUAUGUUCAGAACCCAUGGUUUUAUACAUACAUGUCCUUAGACACCACCAAAUAUAACCCGUGUAUGUUCAGAACCCAUGGUUUUAUUCAUACAUGUCCUUAGACACCACCAAAUAUAACCCAUGUAUGUUCAGAACCCAUGGUUUUAUACAUACAUGUCCUUAGACACCACCAGGUAUAACCCAUGUAUGUUCAGAACCCAUGGUUUUAUACAUACAUGUCCUUAGACACCACCAGGUAUAACCCAUGUAUGUUCAGAACCCAUGGUUUUAUACAUACAUGUCCUUAGACACCACCAGGUAUAACCCAUGUAUGUUCAGAACCCAUGGUUUUAUACAUACAUGUCCUUAGACACCACAAAGUAUAACCCAUGUAUGUUCAGAACCCAUGGUUUUAUACAUACAUGUCCUUAGACACCACCAAAUAUAACCACCCUGUAUGUUCAGAACCCAUGGUUUUAUACAUACAUGUCCUUAGACACCACCAGUUAUAACCCAUGUAUGUUCAGAACCCAUGGUUUUAUACAUACAUGUCCUUAGACACCACCAAGUAUAACUCAUGUAUGUUCAAAACCCAUGGUUUUAUACAUACAUGUCCUUAGACACCACCAAUUAUAACCCAUGUAUGUUCAGAACCCAUGGUUUUAUACAUACAUGUCCUUAGAUUAUGACCCCCACUGCAUUCUGAUACAUGGCUCCAAGUUUGGGAAUCACGGUCCACUGAUGUAGACUGUAGAAGGGAGUGAAGAACCGGAUGUAGAAAACUAUAGAAACGAGGGACGAACCGGUGAUCAACUCCAUUGUAAUUUUGCCCCCCAAAUGCCUUCGCGUGUGGAGCAGUGCUGACAUCUAUACUCUGUUUUUUUCCAUCUGUCCACCCGCCAGUGGUGUUUGCGUAUGGUAACACUGCGUCCCGGGCUUUUGAUAGUUACGCUAUGUAUAAGUUUUAGGUAAAUAAAAGGAUAUCUGGGUGUACAUUUGCAACUGAAAAGUGUUUUAAUAAUUUACUGUAUGCAAAUUACACCGUUAAUAUUCGAAAUAGGAUAUUAUAAUAGUUGAAUGUAAGCUAAAUGUAACUAUCUAAAGCCUGGGACGCAGUGUUACCACAUGCACACACCACAGGCGGGUGGACAGAUGGAAAAAAACUGAGUAUAGUGAGCGCGCUCAGCCUCAAUACUUCGAAACACAGUAAUCUUAUGAGAGACCUUUAUUAAUCUUUUACUCUCCAAUAUGUUCAUAUGCAUGAUGUCAGCUUUAUUAUCCCGUUACCUCAAUUUGAAUGUAAUACGUCUCUCUCUCUCUCUCUCUCAUUUUUUGCCUAUUCUUUUCGAGAUUUCAUCCGCUGAAACAAUAGAUAUUUAUAUAUCUUUUCCAUAUCUUUUACGUAUAUAGAAAUCUGUAUUACCGUCGUUAUGUAUGUAUUAUUAUCCGACACUUUUUAAGCCGGACAUUCAAGUUAUAUAUCAUACAAGCAUGAUGACAUAUUUUCAUAUAUAACUGUUAGGUAUGUUGUAUGCAAAUUUUAAUAUAUAUUUUAAGCGAACUCAUUAUUGCAAUGAACACAGUUAAUUUGGAAUGAUCAAAUUUAAUUAUUUUUUUAUAUAAAAAAGAUCAGGUAACAUAGAAAUGGAGUACUCUGGAUUCUGUUUUUAAAGAGUUUUUCUGUGAAGACUGUCCUGUAUAUUAAUAUAUUAUUAUAAUUUUUAAUAAUUGAAGAUGUUAUAGUUUCCCAGUUAUAUCAUAUCCUACUGACGUCUCUAUUUAUGUCACCCUCCUCAGAUAUGGCAUCAUAAGGAAGGGUUUUGACUUCCAUCACCUCUAACUCUCUAGUAGAAGACUAUCAACCCUCAAAAUUUGUAUAUUCUGUUCAUUUCUUCCUUUAUAUUGCAUCCAAGAUCAUUUUAAUUUUUAUUCUUUCAUAUCCUUGGCCGCAAUCUUUAUUGACAUAGAACCGGCGCCGAAAUGCGCUGACUUCCAGUUAUCGGCGCCGAAAUGCGCUGACUUCCAGUUAUCGGCGCCGAUAAUACAGUAUUGGUGCCAAUGCAUACCUAACAGCGGCACUAUUAAGCGGUUAUCGGCGCCAAUAAAAAUAAAAAUUAGAAUAAUGAACAAUAAAUAAUAAAAAUCUCUGCAUACCUACACUUACUGGUGCUACUUUCUCUUUUGACCAGUUUCAAACUUCACUUAUUUAUCAUUCAGCAGUUCAUUCAAACAUCCACUACAUCUCAUUAUUUUCUCUGCGUAUUUUUAGAAGUUACUAACUACAUUUUUACCUACAUUCAAUAUUCCAGUCCUUGUCUUUUGUUCUUCCAAGAUCCAGCUGGGUUAUAAUUAUCUCCCCAUGCCAUCUGAAGAACAUGUAACUCUCUUGUUGCUUUAGUCUUGCCAAAUUUUCAAUUUGAUUCCCCAAACAAUUUUUGUGCUGCUGUUCAUUGUCCAACACUAAACACUUCUUAUAUGUUAGGUCCUAUAUUUCCUUCUUACAAUCUAUGUCUUUUUGUCCAGUUUUCUUCAACAUCAUGAUCAUGCACUGAUUUGUUUUGUCCAUUUGGUUAACGUAACUUCUUGAGAUUAUGUCCCCAAGUCUGUACUUCCUCGUGUUCCGGUGAUGAAUCCUCAGACAAUAAUCUGUGCUGCUUAAUAUUAUGUCUACCAGGGACCACUCAUUCUCCUGCCUGGUUGGAUUAACAGCCUAUUUAUAUGUGGACUUUCUGGAUACGAAUCCACUGUUUUCAUGGAUUAGUAGCCUAAUAAUAUAUGGACUUUCUGGACACAAAUCCACUCUUUUUAUGUUCUCUGUUUUAUUAAGUUAGUAGUCUCAAAAUCCAUUGAUUUUUUCGCUUCAUUUCUUUCCUAUGCUUUAUGACAAUUCUCCACUCAUGUCCCCUUUUUCGUGGUUAUCCUCCAACCAGGUCUGGGUCCCAUAUUUAUAAAAGAAAAAAUUACAUGUUCAAGCUUUCUUUAUUUGGUUUUCAUUAGGUGUUACAGUCUGUGUAACAGUGAAUCUUUAUGCCAUGUCUUGAUACUCAUUGAUUCAUUCAACAAAUAAACCAAUAACGGCUUUUAAAGACUUGCUAAAACUAGAUCUUACACAAAACUGUCCUGUAUAUAGGCGUCAGUAGGGCUGUAGCUUAGAAACUCAUCAUGCAUUCUUUAUUAUUAUUACUUUUAAAAGUCAUUGAUCGUUUUUCCUUUUGGCCAGAUCAUAAAAUAUUGUAAAUGACAUCCAGUUGUAUAAUACCUAGAAAGAAAAAUAGAAAUUUAAAGAAGAAUUCAUCAAAUAAGUUUAUGGUAAUAAAACAAUUUUUUUCCGAAUGACUGGACUUAACUAUAUUCAGUUAACAUGUCAACAAACAAUUUGCUGUAAUUUAAUACCUUGGAGGAUUCCUAGUUUAUUUGGAAACAUUCAGAGUACCUGAGAGAAAUACAAUAUCGGAUGAAUCUUUAAAGUUAUUCCCAUCGAUGACACUCGGAAAAAAAUGAGGUCUUUUUACAGCGUAGAAUUAAAGAUAUAGUAGUCUUGUUUUUUUUAACUCCAUUUCUCAAUUAGACAGGGUGUCUAUAAAGUCCCAUUACCAUUCUGAGCAACAAAUACUUGUAAUGGUAUUGGGACUUUAUGGACACCCUGUACUUCAGCGGUAUUUACGUGCUAUAUCAGUCAUUACGUGAAGCUUUUUUUUUUGUGCCCAGAAAACUUCCCAUUUGUUACAUUACACCGGAUAUUAUAUUAAAGAGUUCUUAUGGA